UAAAAGCCAAUUACAAAAGGCUGGUGGGUGACUUGAGCCACUAGAGCAGGGUGGAAGUCUGCGAAGGUGUUUUGUACCCAGCAAGAUCUGCAGCAGAGCUGAGGGAGGGAAGCCCUUCACCUGAGCCCUAUCCCUGCUAUCGAGGCACAUCUUGACUCAGCUCCACAAGGCUCUGAAAUAGUCCAAAACAGGAGGACGGGCAUUCAGUCAAAGCAAGGAUUGC
rnacentral:lncRNA from 1 species